UACGUAGGGUGCAAGCGUUGUCCGGAAUUACUGGGCGUAAAGAGCUCGUAGGUGGUUUGUCGCGUUGUUCGUGAAAACUCACAGCUCAACUGUGGGCGUGCGGGCGAUACGGGCAGACUUGAGUACUGCAGGGGAGACUGGAAUUCCUGGUGUAGCGGUGGAAUGCGCAGAUAUCAGGAGGAACACCGGUGGCGAAGGCGGCAUCCUGGACCAAUACUGACGCUGAGGCGCGAAAGCUAGGGGAGCAAACGGG
rnacentral:rRNA from 1 species